GUGGUCCUCGGCGGCGACCGCGCUGCGACAGCCGAGCCCCGGGAGCCGCGAACCUGGGCGCGCACAGCCCGCGCCCCAACUCCGCGUCCUGCGUUCCCGCCCGCCGGAGGAGCCGCGUGACCUCGAGUACCUUCCUUGUCCCCUCCGAGCCUCAGUUUCCCCACCGUGCACAGUGGAACCCACCCUCUUGGCGUCACCUGGGGAGUCGAAAAUACUGAAAUCCUGCGAAAUUCCCUGUUGCGGGGCAGUUAAUCUUGGAAAAUAUGUGCCUUCCCCCACUCAAUAAAACCAGGCCACUAGAUUUGAGAGGGGCCCGCGUCUGACUGCGAACCCAGGGCCCUCGCCCCUACGAGACGGAGAAUCGACGUCCAAGAAUCCCCGGGGUCAGGAGGAAGGUGGAGGCCUGGGGCGUACGUCCCUUCCAUGCGCAUGAGGGACCCCCCGCCCCUCGGCAAUUCUUCCCUAAGCUCUAGGGUCGCGGAGACCCUGUGGGCGGGUGCGGGCUGCGGGAGCUGUGCUGGGGAGGCGGCGGUGGUGAAGUCCAAGAAACAAAGUCCUGGGAGUCGGCCCGAGGGAUUCCUCCUGGGUACUGAACUGAACCAGGAUGGGCUCCUGGCAGUGCUGUGUCCCGGGAAGAAGGUGUGAGGCUGUAGGUGCAGAAAUGGGGCAAGAGAUGAAAGGAAAAGGGGCGCUGCUGUUUG
rnacentral:lncRNA from 1 species